rnacentral:rRNA from 1 species
CAAUAGCGUAUAUUUAAGUUGUUGCAGUUAAAAAGCUCGUAGUUGGAUUUCGGUUAAGAGCGACCGGUCCGCCGUUUGGUGUGCACUGGUUGGUUUUAACUUCCUGUAGAGGACGUGCUCUGGGUUUAACGACCUGGACUCGGAGUCUACGUGGCUACUUUGAAAAAAUUAGAGUGUUCAAAGCGGGCUUACGCUUGAAUAUUUCAGCAUGGAAUAACACUAUAGGACUCCUGUCCUAUUUCGUUGGUCUCGGGACGGGAGUAAUGAUUAAGAGGAACAGUUGGGGGCAUUCGUAUUUCAUUGUCAGAGGUGAAAUUCUUGGAUUUAUGAAAGACGAACUUCUGCGAAAGCAUUUGCCAAGGAUGUUUNCAUUAA